UGCCCUAUCAGCUUUGGAUGGUAGGGUAUUGGCCUACCAUGGCUUUUAACGGGUAACGGGGAAUUGGGGUUCGAUUCCGGAGAGGGAGCCUGAAGAGACGGCUACCACAUCCCAAGGAAGGCAGCAGGCGCGUAAAUUACCCAAUCCUGACACAGGGAGGUAGUGACAAUAAAAUAACAAUGCCGGGCUUUUACAAGUCUGGCAAUUGGAAUGAGAGCAAUUUAAACCCAUCAUCGAGGAUCAAUUGGAGGGCAAGUCUGGUGCCAGCAGCCGCGGUAAUUCCAGCUCCAAUAGCGUAUAUUAAAGUUGCUGCAGUUAAAAAGUUAGUAGUUGGAUUUGUGGCGCGGCCGUCCGGCGGGGCUCCUUCAUUGGGGCCGUUUGUCUGGUUUUUCGGCCGCUCCAUUCUCGGGUAGUGUGUCGCUGGCAAUAGGUUGUCGGCUUCUUCACGCCCGUCGUUUACUGUGAAAAAAUUAGAGUGUUCAAAGCAGGCUUAGGCCAUUGGAUACAUUAGCAUGGAAUAAUGAGAUAGGGCCACGACGGUCUAUUUUGUUGGUUUGCACGUUGUGGUAAUGAUUAACAGGAACG
rnacentral:rRNA from 1 species